rnacentral:rRNA from 1 species
GGAAACGGUGGCUAAUACCGCAUAACGUCGCAAGACCAAAGAGGGGGACCUUCGGGCCUCUUGCCAUCAGAUGUGCCCAGAUGGGAUUAGCUUGUUGGUGAGGUAACGGCUCACCAAGGCGACGAUCCCUAGCUGGUCUGAGAGGAUGACCAGCCACACUGGAACUGAGACACGGUCCAGACUCCUACGGGAGGCAGCAGUGGGGAAUAUUGCACAAUGGGCGCAAGCCUGAUGCAGCCAUGCCGCGUGUAUGAAGAAGGCCUUCGGGUUGUAAAGUACUUUCAGCGGGGAGGAAGGUGUUGUGGUUAAUAACCGCAGCAAUUGACGUUACCCGCAGAAGAAGCACCGGCUAACUCCGUGCCAGCAGCCGCGGUAAUACGGAGGGUGCAAGCGUUAAUCGGAAUUACUGGGCGUAAAGCGCACGCAGGCGGUCUGUCAAGUCGGAUGUGAAAUCCCCGGGCUCAACCUGGGAACUGCAUUCGAAACUGGCAGGCUUGAGUCUUGUAGAGGGGGGUAGAAUUCCAGGUGUAGCGGUGAAAUGCGUAGAGAUCUGGAGGAAUACCGGUGGCGAAGGCGGCCCCCUGGACAAAGACUGACGCUCAGGUGCGAAAGCGUGGGGAGCAAACAGGAUUAGAUACCCUGGUAGUCCACGCCGUAAACGAUGUCUACUUGGAGGUUGUGCCCUUGAGGCGUGGCUUCCGGAGCUAACGCGUUAAGUAGACCGCCUGGGGAGUACGGCCGCAAGGUUAAAACUCAAAUGAAUUGACGGGGGCCCGCACAAGCGGUGGAGCAUGUGGUUUAAUUCGAUGCAACGCGAAGAACCUUACCUGGUCUUGACAUCCACGGAAGUUUUCAGAGAUGAGAAUGUGCCUUCGGGAACCGUGAGACAGGUGCUGCAUGGCUGUCGUCAGCUCGUGUUGUGAAAUGUUGGGUUAAGUCCCGCAACGAGCGCAACCCUUAUCCUUUGUUGCCAGCGGUUAGGCCGGGAACUCAAAGGAGACUGCCAGUGAUAAACUGGAGGAAGGUGGGGAUGACGUCAAGUCAUCAUGGCCCUUACGACCAGGGCUACACACGUGCUACAAUGGCGCAUACAAAGAGAAGCGACCUCGCGAGAGCAAGCGGACCUCAUAAAGUGCGUCGUAGUCCGGAUUGGAGUCUGCAACUCGACUCCAUGAAGUCGGAAUCGCUAGUAAUCGUGGAUCAGAAUGCCACGGUGAAUACGUUCCCGGGCCUUGUACACACCGCCCGUCACACCAUGGGAGUGGGUUGCAAAAGAAGUAGGUAGCUUAACCUUCGGGAGGGCGCUUACCACUUUGUGAUUCAUGACUGGGGUGAAGUCGUAACAAGGUAACCGUAGGGGAACCUGC